AUCCUUUUGCACUUCACGAGCAUGAUGAUUGGGUGUUCAGGUGCAUGUGUGAGAUGUGCCACCCUUGACCCUCAUUACAGCAUAGCACAUUACCCAUCUGACC
ensembl:snoRNA